rnacentral:rRNA from 1 species
UACGUAGGGAGCAAGCGUUGUCCGGAAUCAUUGGGCGUAAAGCGCGCGUAGGUGGCCUCGUAAGUCCGCUGUGAAAGUCAAAGGCUCAACCUUUGAAAGCCGGUGGAUACUGUGAGGCUAGAGUACGGAAGAGGCGAGUGGAAUUCCUGGUGUAGCGGUGGAAUGCGUAGAUAUCAGGAGGAACACCAAUGGCGAAGGCAGCUCGCUGGGACGGUACUGACGCUGAGACGCGAAAGCGUGGGGAGCAAACAGG